rnacentral:lncRNA from 1 species
AUGUAAUCUUUCACCUAAUGCCUUCACAAUCCUAAAUUCACUAAGGGAGGAAAGGAAAGAUUGUAUGAAAGACUCUCAAAACUAUUUCCAAAUGAAAAUGAGUCUAAAGUUGCUACAGGUUUUUCUUCAUGCAACUAUUGCCUCUUUACCUGUGUUAUAUUUCCAAACGUUUACUGCAGCUUAGAAACAUAUGCUCCCGAGUCAGUGACUAAAAAUCUCACUUUUAUUUUUGGAAACUUUAAUUCUACAAAUUUGAAACAGACACUAUGAUAAGAUAUAUUUAUAAAUUCUUCUGACAGCUGGUUGGUAGCAGAGCUAAGACAUAUCUUGGUCUCAUCAUUUAAUGAAACAGUAAAUGGAUAAAUGGAUGGAUGGAUGGAUGGAUGGAUGGAUGGAUGGAUGGAUAU